GAUGAACGCUAGCGGCAGGCUUAAUACAUGCAAGUCGUGGGGCAGCAGGUUUGUAGCAAUACAGAUGCUGGCGAUCGGCAAACGGGUGCGGAACACGUACAGAACCUUCCUUUGAGCGGGGAAUAGCCCAGAGAAAUUUGGAUUAAUACCCCAUAGUAUAAUGAAGUGGCAUCACUUUAUUAUUAAAGAUUUAUCACUCGAAGAUGGCUGUGCGGCUGAUUAGGUAGUUGGCGGGGUAAAGGCCCACCAAGCCUGCGAUCAGUAACUGGUGUGAGAGCACGACCAGUCACACGGGCACUGAGACACGGGCCCGACUCCUACGGGAGGCAGCAGUAAGGAAUAUUGGUCAAUGGAGGCAACUCUGAACCAGCCAUGCCGCGUGGAGGAUGAAGGUCCUCUGGAUUGUAAACUUCUUUUAUAUGGGACGAAAAAAGGCUUUUCUAAGUCGUCUGACGGUACCAUAUGAAUAAGCACCGGCUAACUCCGUGCCAG
rnacentral:rRNA from 1 species